GUUAUAUAGUUUCUCUGUAUGAUUGCUAUUUAUUUUAUAGAUUAAAGGGAUUAUGUUCUCUCCAAUUAUUUUAAAUAUUUUUUACAAUAAAUGUAUAAAAUCUGAAAUAGCAAACAUCAAGAUAUUCUAUAAAAUCUUUCAUUUUAUAGCAAUUUUGAAUAAUUUUACAAAUGCCUAUGUUAUAACUUAUGACGGUGACAAUGCUUCAUAUAAAGUCACUGCAUUUACUAAGAGAAUAUCACUGUGUGAUUGCUCUUUCAAAUACUUGAAUGGUGUGAGGGUUUUCUGAUCCCCAUAUUGCUUUCUCUUGAAUAUUCACCAUCUCCCAAAUAUCAGUGAUGCAAUGAAUAUAGUGUUUCCGAAUAAAACAUUUUGAGUAAAAAUGCUGACAGAAUAUGAAAUUGUAUUUUUUCCCAGUUUGACACCCUGAAAUAAUAAUUCAGUAUUAUCCUAUAUUUUAUUGUGCUAUAAUAAAUAAUAGUGGGCAAUCAAGAAAUAAAAAGUAUUUCUGAAUUAUGAUUUGGUAGUUCAAACCGAACCUCAUUUUAAGUUGAAGAUAUUCUGUAUACAGC
rnacentral:lncRNA from 1 species